rnacentral:lncRNA from 1 species
CUUCAUCUCUCCAUCUUUAACCCAUUUUCUCUCUCUUCAACCUAUCCUUUUCCACUCCAGUUUCUCUCUCUUCAAUCUCUCCAUCUUCAAAAGAAAAAGAAAUUGAAUUACCGAGUUGGAGCGAUGGAGGAGGUUGAAAAGACCUGGCUUGUUAUCGCUACUACACAAGAGUCAGCGCUGCUACCAUUGUUCUCAAGGAACGAGAUUCUAAAACCUGCAAAAAUCAAAAGGUCGAAAAAAAGUCCUUUUAAUAGAUAUCUUAGAUAACGAGAUCUGAAAUUCUAUUUUCGAUUGCUUAUCCCCAAUCAACAAAGUUUAAUUUUGACCAUGCGAUGAAAAUUGAUUUUGAUUAGGAUGUGUUUGUUUCAGUAUCUUAAUGGAUAUUUAUUCGAAGAUUGAAUUCGAUUAUUUUUGUUGUAAAUGGGUUUUUGAGUUUAGUAGAAAAUUAGGGAUUUUUGGCA